AUUGAACGCUGGCGGCAUGCCUUACACAUGCAAGUCGAACGGCAGUGGGGGAGAAGCUUGCUUUUCCUGCCGGCGAGUGGCGAACGGGUGAGUAAUACAUCGGAACGUGCCCUGUAGUGGGGGAUAACUGGUCGAAAGAUUAGCUAAUACCGCAUACGACCUGAGGGUGAAAGUGGGGGACCGCAAGGCCUCAUGCUAUAGGAGCGGCCGAUGUCUGAUUAGCUAGUUGGUGGGGUAAAGGCCUACCAAGGCGACGAUCAGUAGCUGGUCUGAGAGGACGAUCAGCCACACUGGGACUGAGACACGGCCCAGACUCGUACGGGAGGCAGCAGUGGGGAAUUUUGGACAAUGGGCGAAAGCCUGAUCCAGCAAUGCCGCGUGUGUGAAGAAGGCCUUCGGGUUGUAAAGCACUUUUGUCCGGAAAGAAAUGGCUCUGGUUAAUACCUGGGGUCGAUGACGGUACCGGAAGAAUAAGGACCGGCUAACUACGUGCCAGCCGCCGCCGUAA
rnacentral:rRNA from 1 species